AAAGAUUAAGCCAUGCAUGUCUAAGUAUAAGCAAUCAUACUGUGAAACUGCGAAUGGCUCAUUAAAUCAGUUAUCGUUUAUUUGAUAGUACCUUUACCUGGAUAACCGUGGUAAUUCUAGAGCUAAUACAUGCUAAAAAUCCCGACUUCGGAAGGGAUGUAUUUAUUAGAUAAAAAACCAAUGCCCUUCGGGGCUCCUUGGUGAUUCAUAAUAACUUAACGAAUCGCAUGGCCUUGCGCUGGCGAUGGUUCAUUCAAAUUUCUGCCCUAUCAACUUUCGAUGGUAGGAUAGUGGCCUACCAUGGUCUCAACGGGUAACGGGGAAU
rnacentral:rRNA from 1 species